AGCAACUAUAUUUGUUCAUGGUUUGUUCAUAAUUUGUACUUCAGUAGUAACUGAGUUAUUACUACGUAUUAGUGCCCUGUCAAGUAAAGUGUUACCAUAAUAAUCAAUCAUGCAUUGUAAAGGUUCAGAUGGAUUUCAUCUCCUCCUCCACCCUUUGUAAUAUGAGCAGUAAAUUGCAGCUAAUUAUAACUUAAAAAUAUACAAAUACUAUAUACUCUUCUAAAGGGGAAAACUACUAAGCAGGUGGGUAGAACUGUUGCUUUACACCUCCUGAGUUGGGGGUUUUAAUUCUUAAUUAUGUGUGUGGAUUUCGUCUGGUUUGCUGUGGCGGUAGAGUAACAUGCAGUUACAUACAGUAACAUGCAGUUACAUACAGUAACAUGCAGUUACAUACAGUAACAUACAGUAACAUACAGACUACUGUGGUCACCAUGCACACUGAUCAGUUCUGUGUACUUCUACCCUCUUGUAUCAGGUGACUGGAAAUUUCAGAUUUCCUGUUCAGUUAUGGAAUGAAUCCACCCACACUAUAAAUGGUGAUUAAAAAGGUCAAAGUCUGCCGCCGCAAGAUUUUCCUUCAAAGUUUUUUUUAAAUUAUUUUAUAUAUUUUUUUAAAAUCUCAAUGAAGAACUUGCUGGAAAUGCCUCAUGUCUUUCCCACAGUGGCUGCAUUCAUUCACUGCACCGAACUCAGCUUUUUAUACAAUUGCUAGUUCGGCCUAGAUCUCCUUGGCUUCUAACAAAGAGUCAUUGAAAUGUCCUCGUUUAGUUCUACACAAAAGAAAUUCUUUGGUUAAAGCACUAGGAAACUGCAUAGUGGACAAGAUGCAAGACAAAACAAAAAUACGUCUCCCGAGGCACAAUCGUAAAAUUAAAAAUAGUUAAAUAUGCCAGAUUUUACUGAGAUGCAAACAAAAAAAAGCAAUAGUAAUUCGAAUAAAUCUGCAUUCAAUAUAUUCGUAUUUCCUUAAAACAUAAUUUUUAAUGCUGUUUCUAUAACCGAUAGUGCCAUAAUUAUUCCGUAAUGUUUAUUAACAUUUUACAUACGGUAUCGUGUUACUUGCUGUCUAGUAUGUAACACCUCUCUGCUCCGAUAGGUGGCAGUGUUGGUGUAAGAUUGAUAGAGAUCGGCAUAUUUCUACGCUUGGCGAGGGAAAGGCAUCGAAGGAAGUAUUUCUCCUUCAGUAAUUAGCACCGUGACACCUGAUACGAACACAGCCCAGACAAGACCUCUGUUAGUAAGAAACAGGGGUCACCUGCAGGGGUUAUGUGACCAAGGGAAAGGUCCAAGAUUCCAUUAACACCCAAUGAAACUGGCAAAACAUAACAGAGGCCAGUUCCCAGUAAGUUCAUGUUUUACUCUGAACUUUAUUGCCGGUGUAUUUCUUUGCAAGCAAGGAGGUGUAAAAUGGAGGGGGUGGGGGGAAUCGAGAAACAGACCCUUCCGGAAGGUGCCACUCGCAGCAUUGCAUUGACGACCUGCUCAGGGGUUGAAAUUACAUUCACGCUGUCAUUCAGCAUCUACAUACAACACAAGCAGUGCAUUUUCUUCAUAUAUUACCAGUUCACAUUUCACAUUGUUCCUUACACAUAGUGAUCUCCUUGACUUAAGCAUGUACUUGGCCACAAUUUCUUGAAGAUUAACAUCCCACCUGUACAUGCUGCAGGUUCUUUUACCUACUUAUCUACUGAACCUAAUAAUACUCAAAGUUUUUUUUUUUUUUAUGCUGUUGCUAAAUGCAAGGGUUAAACUCGUCAAGCAGCCCUAGUGUUACAUCAGCAUGGACAAGUGAAAACAAAUAUUUAUUCCAAAUGCUUUUUAUUGUGUGUGUGUUGGAUGUGACUGAUUGUCCGAGGUGUGAAUGAUGCGCAGAUGCUUUUUCUAGUUUUGCAUAUUACUGUAUCAUUACUUCAUCCGAAAUUGCACCGUGGCCCUGCAGAAAUGAUAUUUCAUGGUGACCAUGUGGGGCAUAGUACACAAAACGUACAUUUACGCAUUUAUCUGCACCAGGCUAAAUACUAUGAGCUUUGCAGCAAACCCAGUAAGAGAAUAGAUUAAAGAAUGUAAUCAUUGUAAAUAAGAGGUGCAUUAUGGCAUGUUCAUUGUCUUCUGAAGAUGCUGCGGCUGCCCCCCCCCCCCCCGAUCUCCGGAAGAGCUUGUUGACUCACUUGUUCACCUGCCUCCUGUGCUCAGGAUACCACGCCCAUGUCAGGAUGUCACAGGUGUGAGUUACAUCAGGCCACCCACAAACCCAGGCUCGCUCGAUUCGUCCACUACACUCUUGUCCCACACUGCGAUCGCACCCUUUCCCAACUCUUAGGCAGUCAAAACACCACAAAACAGCAAUUAAGAAGCAGUAUUUUUUACUGUAACACUGCAUCCUACAUGCUGCACGGACACAAGGGCGACACUGUAGCACUGACCUCGGUUUGACACUGGCAGCCCUAUCCUCUUUCACCAUGUCCCCCCCCCAGCUUUUUAAGCAAGCUUGUUUAAUUGUUUUCUUUACCCACCUGCUCACCGGCUCCGUUAACAGUACCGGGGAUGAUUUAAUGUGGUUUUCACAGGUGUCGGGACGGCUUGUAAUACACUGGGCCAGAACGAGCACGCUCAGCUGCACGCUAGGGCUGGCUCAGCCUUCAGUGCCGCCGGCCGCGAAGGGCGUUCCGGGCAGCGCCGCUGUGGGGAGCGUUUCCUUCACUGUGUAGGCUCUUCCCUUGGGCACAAGGCCACUUUUCUGUAGGUUUCCACUGUGGCAGGGUGCCCAGCAUCCAGUUUAGGGAGCAGGAGCGGGGACUAGCGGUGAACUGUCAUGACAACAGACGGCUUCUGCGUAGCCGGUGCCCCGGAGGCGAGGACGGGCACUGCAGUUGUCGUGCCAACGCUGACCUCGUCGGGGGAAAGCUCCUCACUCCCCGUCCACGUCAUGACUCACUUGCAGCACAUAAAGGACACUCAGAGUAAACCCGGGCUGCACUUUGAGUGACAGUUAAGAGUCUUCACCCCCUCGGAAAGUGGAGCAAUCAUCCAACAUUCCUCUGGAUAUAGAUUUCAAAGUCUGCCGGGUCAUGCACAAUAGAGAACGUCCCACUGAUAUGUCACCAGCUCGCCGUGUUUUACCACAGAGGUCAAACGGGACACCACGGGGUGACCAGGCUGUGUGAACACGGGGGUGGGAGUGCGGUUAGUUGCAUCCUGGUUGGAACUGGACACCUCUGGGUGGUGGAGAAUGGCCUGGAUGGGCAGCUCCAUCUCCUCUAUACGCAUCCACCCCAAUACACACCACAUUCUCCAUUAUGCUCCAGCUACUGUAGGACAACGUGUGACAGAAUUGAUCAUGAGUGUUCUACAGAUUACUAAUUAGUACUUGCAGUUACUUUUGAGCUUGAGUCUUUGAUGAGUGUUAGAUAAGUUUCACUUCUAACAAAGCAGUACAGGCAUUUACCAUCUGACACAAUGAACACUGCUAAUGAUUUGUAUCACUGCGCACAUGGCACCUGAUGAUUAUUCAAUGAGUACAGCAAACUUUUCCAGUAGUUCCCUAACCCCUAAUAAAUCUGUCUCAUGA